rnacentral:tRNA from 3 species
GAGAGAGGUGAUACACAAUAAGAACUGCUAAUUCCU